AGGGAGUGAAGCACUCAGGGCCAACCAAAUUGGUUCUCUAUUUCGCUGGGGCUACCAACAUUCUCUACACUUUUGGUGGACAUGCUGUUACAGUGUUGUGAAGAAGGGUGAUACUAUUUUUAUUGGUCAAUACCUGUUUACAGGAAGUGAAACAACCUCAGUGUGGCUAGAGGUAAUUUAGUCUUGGAUGGACUAGUUCUAUCUUCUAUGCUUGUGCAAAUAGAUCAUUUUAAUUAUUUUGAAAUUAUAGGGUUUAGAUAGGGAAAGUUUGUCACAGACGAAUUUUUACACUAUUGGACUACAGGAAAGGUCAACA